AGUCUGUUCCAAUAGCAGUCCGGUUUACAGGAUUAAGUCAGAACUUACAGAAAGUCGUUCCUAUAGACAUAAAACCUGUAAGUGGGAACACUUUUAAGAGAGUAACUGAGCAACUGUUCCUCGCCAGAAGUUACAGCAUUUAGUCCGGAGUUUUUCUUCCUGUAAGCUCAUGAAAAGUGUCAAACGAUAGGCAGGGUUGCAUUUGUAAAC